rnacentral:rRNA from 1 species
AGUAGUUUGAUCAGUGGCUCAGGACAAGCUGGCGGCGUGCCUAACACAUGCAAGUCGAACGAAGCAUUUGGAUCUGAUCUCUUCGGAGUGACGAACCUUAUGACUUAGUGGCGGACGGGUGAGUAACACGUGAGCAACCUGCCUCUCAGAGUGGAAUAACAGUUGGAAACGGCUGCUAAUACCGCAUAACGUCAUAGUACCGCAUGAUACCUUGACCAAAGAUUUAUCGCUUAAGGAUGAGCUCGCGUCUGAUUAGCUAGUUGGUGAGGUAACGGCCCACCAAGGCAACGAUCAGUAGCCGGACUGAGAGGUUGGACGGCCACAUUGGGACUGAGACACGGCCCAGACUCC